GAUAAUUCUUCAGUUGCUACUGAAAAUCGAGAUUAGCUUUCUGUAAUUCCUUUGAAUUUGUGGUGCUAACCAAUAGUUUCUUUGAAGAAGACGAAUCCCGGCGCCAAUUUCCUUCUAGUCGGAGUCUGAUCGUGAAUUUUCUACUCUAUUAGAUGGAUGCAAAUACAACUCAAAGUGAAGCUGCAACUGAAAUUGGUUCCUCUAUUCACCCUACAUCUGUACCUGCACCUUCUGCUGAUACUCAGCAAGCUGCACAAUCUGCUCCAACCGAAGCUAAUUUAGAAGUUUAAAGAUUUUUGUUAAUGUAUGAAUUCAGGUCUUAAGACUCUUAAAAGUUAAAGUUUUUAAGC